rfam:Thielavia terrestris NRRL 8126 chromosome 3, complete sequence.
CAAUACCCAAGUUGCACAACUUGGUUAAGAGGGUCAAGCAGCGUAAAAGGCGUCUGCUAGUGGGGAUGGGUGCCCUCCGCGUGCGGGCCCGGCUCCCUGCGACACCGUCAAAUUGCGGGAAGUUCCUAAAGCCAGCGCUACCAAGCGGGCGCCGAAAGGCAGUCCGUGGCCGGGGUAAUGACCUAGGGUACGGUAAAAACGCGCUGGAUGCUACAAUGGAUGAUCCGCAGCCAAGCCCUAAGUCCGGCCCCCUCCGGCCGGAUAUGGGUGCAGUUCAACGACUAAAUGGUGGUGGGUUCCGGCGGGAACGCGUGCUGCGCACCCCGUCGGGGCUUAAGAUAUAGUCUGGCCUCCCGCGAAAGCGGGAG